rnacentral:tRNA from 1 species
UGGAGGCUAGCUCAGCUGGUAGAGGGCUUGCCUGACGUGCAUGAAACCCUGGGUUCAAUCCCCAGUACUGCAU